AGGAACCUUACCCGGGCUUAAAUGUUAGCGUGCAUUCCCGUGAAAACGGGAUUUCCUUCGGGACCCGCUACAAGGUGCUGCAUGGUUGUCGUCAGCUCGUGCCGUGAGGUGUCGGGUUAAGUCCCAUAACGAGCGCAACCCCUAUCUUUAGUUGCCAGUCCCGGUUUAACCGGGAGGGACUCUAAAGAAACUGCCCGCGCAAGCGGUGAGGAAGGCGGGGAUGACGUCAAAUCAGCACGGCCCUUAUGUCCGGGGCUACACACGUGCUACAAUGGCCGGUACAGUGGGCAGCUCAUGCGCGAGCAUUUGCUAAUCUCUAAAACCGGUCUCAGUCCGGAUCGGAGUCUGCAACCCGACUCCGUGAAGCUGGAUUCGCUAGUAAUCGCACAUCAGCCAUGGUGCGGUGAAUACGUUCCCGGGCCUUGUACA
rnacentral:rRNA from 1 species